UACGGAGGGGACUAGCGUUGUUCGGAAUUACUGGGCGUAAAGCGCACGUAGGCGGAUUUGUAAGUCAGGGGUGAAAUCCCGGGGCUCAACCUCGGAACUGCCUUUGAUACUGCAAAUCUCGAGUCCGGAAGAGGUGAGUGGAAUUCCUAGUGUAGAGGUGAAAUUCGUAGAUAUUGGGAAGAACACCAGUGGCGAAGGCGGCUCACUGGUCCGGUACUGACGCUGAGGUGCGAAAGCGUGGGGAGCAAACAGG
rnacentral:rRNA from 1 species